ACCGGAGGGAAGCGGGUGUGGCCCGGGCCUCCUGGGCUGCGGGGGUUGGGGCCAACCUGGAAGCGAGGAGGCAGGGAGGGAAGGUUGUUGCGGGCAGCUGAGGGCUCCUGAGGUUCCGGAGGCCCACAGCCGGGCUGCAAAGCUUUUCAGGGCCGACCUGCCUUCCGGGCCGUCUCGGCCCGGCCGAGUCGUUUCCUCCGGGCGGAGGGUUUCCCCAUUGGCUGCGUUAUUUGAAUGGAAUGGAGGACAGGUCUCGAAUUAGGCGCUUGUGGUUGCUCUCUGAGGCGCUCAGAUGAACUUGAACGUAUCAGUGUUGAUAACGGCCUUUUUAAACGGGGUGUCUGUCGCCGAGGGCGUCGGUAGUGUUUGCCGAGGUGACCACCUAUUGACGAGGGUAGACCUGCGGUAAUUGCUGCGGCUUCCUGCCAGUCCCCGGUGUAGAAACGUCUUCCUUCUUACUCUUGCUUGGCAGAGAAACAGAUCAAGAGACAUGGGGAGAUCUUCCAUCCACUGCUUCACUCCCCAAAUGCCCAAGACCCAAGUACUUGAGACUUCAGCUGCUUGCCCAGUGUGCAUUUGCGGGAAGCUGGAUCAGAAGCAGAGUAGCAGGGACUCCAACCAGCUUUAAGGUUGGUUGCUGUAUCACUCUCUUGAAUCACUUGCCCUGAGGAAUCAAACAGCCAAGCCUGAAGACACUUAGGCAACUUUAUGGAGAGGCCCAUCCCAAGAGUAACUGAAGCCUCCAGCGAAGUGAGUGACCUUCUUGGAAGCAGAUCCUCCAACUCCAAUCAAGCCUUCAGAUAAAUGACCACAGAUCUGGCUGGUAGUAGCUGAGAAUGUUUAUUUUUUUUUAUAUCGCUAAUGAUUUUUUAGAAAAACAAAGAUGACUAUGAAACAGAGGCCAGAUAUGGCAUGCAGUAUCUAAACUAUUUACUAAUUUACAGAUGAAGUUUGCUGACCUUUCCACUGCUACUACGGAGAACAGUCAUGAACUUUUCCCACAGCUUUUCAACAUUUUCUCCAAUUCAAAGUCCUUGGUGUAAAUGCACAGUUGAUCAAGACUAGGUGUACAUCCUGUUGAAGGAUUAUGAAAGGCAGCAUGGUGUUUCCUCCCACCAGGACUGAAAAAUGAGAAUUUUCUCCAAAAUAGAGUGUUCAGAUGCCAGUAACAAAAUCUGACAUAACUCUGUUGAAACCAAUCAAAUUAGUUCUUAGUAUUAACAGACAAAGUCAAUUUGUCCAGAUAAUAGUGUUCUACAGAGACUGUUUAGUAUUCUAGUCAUCAUCUACUUUGGUUCCUGUGCUGCUUGAUUUCUCCCUUUUCUUUCAGUUUUGAGAGCAGCCCCAUAUUCUUUCAACACAUUCAAUUGUGCUUAAAGUCAGUUAGUUUCUAUGCUGGUAACAAAGAAGUUUUCCCUGGCAACAAUGUUAUUGCUGUUUUGCAGAGAUCAUCAGAAAGGAUGUCAAGCUUGAUAAUAACAUUUUAUUUCUAAAACUAUCUUGGAACAAUUUGGGGAGGGUAGCAGGAAUGCUAAAUAAGUUGCAAUGCACCGGAAUGAUAAAACAAAAAUGAAAUGUCCUUCUCAAAAUUGCUCUACUGUUGAGAAAUACUGAAAAUAAAAUGACAAAUAGCUCAUACCAAAAAUUGAUCUUGAUGCCACACUUAAUUCUAAUGUCUGCUCUUCAGUCCACAAAAUAAUAUUGAUAGAUUACUAUAUAUUCAUAUUUCCCAUUUUCUAGUUAUUCCUGAAUCUAAUAAUUUUUCUCCACAGCCAUCAUUUCCUAGAAACUGGUAUCAUCAAGAUGGGCACUCAUAUUUUUGUCAAAUUGAAACUAUUUGUAUCAUAUUAAAUAUGUCCUCCUUUUUGAAAAUACUUAUUUAAAAGGCAGAGUAACACAUAUGGGGGGGGGGAUGGUAGUGAGAGAGAGAGAAAGAGAGAGAUCUUUUAUCCAUUGGUUCAUUCCCCAAAUGGCUGCAACAGCAGGGUCUGGGCUAGGCUAGGCUGAAGCCAGGAGUCAGAAACUCCAUCCUGAUCUUUCAUAUGAGUGGCAGAGACUCAAAUACUUGGGCCAUAACCUGUUUCCUAGGCACAUUAGCAGGGAACUGUAUCAAAAGCAGAGUAGCUGGGACUCAAAAGCUUUCUGAUCUAGGAUGUAGGCUUAACUCAUUAUUCCACAAGGCCCAAACUAUGAACUCCUUGUUUUUCCUUAUAAAUCUCUAAUUACUUUUCAAAACUCUUUUAUAGCUGCCCGUCCCCUUUGUCUGCCUUCAUCUUAUUUCACAGGAUUCUUUUUUGCUCAUUUUUUUCACUCUCUCUACCUAGUUUUUCUCAGACCCUCACCUCAAAGCUAAGUAUUUCAUUUAAACUUCAGACUCAUUUAUACACUAUUCAAGCCUAAUACACAUGAAAUGGAACUUGAUAUCUUCCCACAUAUACUUGCUUCUUCUGUAGUCUUCAUUUUGGCCAGUGACCUUGAUGUACUUAAUACUUUGGGAAUCUAUUGAAGAGAAACUUAUUCCAGGUGGCAGGGGAAAGGAAGAGCAAAGAAAGCAAUGCCUUCCUGGAGGAGGUGACACUUAACCUAGAUAAGUUAGCUAGGAGGAAUUGGGUGAGAUGUUUGAGAGUGAUGCAGUGUGAAUUAGGGAGGACAUAAUGCAGAGAAACAGAGGUUGGAAAACCAAAGCCCAAAGGCAAACAAAAACCAUGCUACUAAAAGCAAAACUAAUUCAGAUUCAAAGCAUACAUGGGUUUUUGGCAGAAGGAACUGGCAAAAUAUAUAGUUGGAAAGGUAGGCAGGAAAUAUGUCAUGAAGAACCUUUUAUACCAUGCUAAGAAGUUUGGAUCUUAUCCUAUCAGGUCAGAGUUUACAGACUGAUUGCCCACAGGCAACAGAAGUGGUUUGUUUGGCUCAUGUGGGCUUUAAAAAUCUGUCAAAUAUGUUGUCAAAAUUUCAAAAUUUCAUAUCAAAAUCUGAAUUUCCAGCAUCUUCUGAAGAAUUGUCAGUUCUGGUCACAUUUUUCCACAUUGAACAGGCUGUCUCGUCACCUCUCUGUAAUAGUUAUCCAUCUGAUCUGCUUUAUUCAACUGUGACUGAUGUGAACUACCCACCCAUUGUGAGCUUUGGGAAAUUGCUGCUUCCACUUCAGAUGACAGCGAGUCAUUGAAGAACUGUUAACAGGGGAAUAUUAUUGUCAGAUAUUUGGAUUUUGGAAGAAAAAUAGAGGUAUAGGGCAAAGGGUACCAAAAAGAAUGAACUGAAAAAUCUGGGGCAAUAGUGUUUAGGGAAGAGAGAACAAACAUAUCUUAUUAAUCCAUACACCAUUUACCCUCUUAAACCACCAGAUAGAGCAGAGGAGGCAAGCCAGUGACAGUAGAGAAAUAACAAUUGAAGAUUGAUAUACAGCAUGACUGUUAAAGAGAGCAGGCCAGAAAUCAAGAAAGCUUAAGACUGAGUGUAUGUAGGGUGUAAAUGUGGUAUAUCCAGGUAUAAAUCUAGUGGAUGACAGGGUCUAAUUUUGUUGAAACCCUCAUUUACCACAUUGCCUAUUAAAAAUAAGUUUGCAUUAAUUGAGCAGUUUGCUUUUCAUGGUGAUCAGUUCAAAUGGAUAUACUUUCACAUAUCCAUAAUAACUAUAAAUCAGUGAAUUAUAUAUCAUUCAUGAGUUAAGCUCUAGGAAAGAAUUAAAGAGAAAGGAAGUUUUACAAUGAACUUGAUGAUCACUAGGAACUAUUAAAAAUUCUUGAAAAAUGACCCAUACUCCCUAAUUGGUUUCUUGCUUAUUGGUUUUGUAGGAAUGCUGGGCUAAGUCAAGAUUAUGGAGAGCUACACUCAGAGUAGGCAUAAUUCAUAAAAUUUGUCUAAGUUGGCUUAUCUCGAUAAAUACAUGAUAGGGUUUCUUAUCCUGAACACAUUAUUUCUCAAACUGUAUUAGCUUUCUAUUUUUUUAAGCCUCCCUAAUAUCUAGUUUGCUUUCUCCACUCUCAAUUUAUUUUAAAUUAUUUCAAAUAAUAUAACAAAGUAUAAUGAAGAGUUAAAUGAACACACAUAAAUAAUUUUUAACAUUUUUGCAUACACACUUCAUAUGUAAACAUAUAUACACAUAGAUACCAUUUUUGAAAGCAUAGGUGGUAAUGGUAAUAUCACAAAACAUGAAAUUAAUAACAAAAACCAAGUGAGGACAGAAGGGUAUUUUUUAACAUAAGGAGUCUAAUUCAUUAAAGACACAUUUAUAUAUAUCUGUAUACCAAAUAAUGUGGAACCCACACAUUUUAUACUAUACAUAUAAUAUUGACUUUGACAUAUCAGAGAAAAUAGGAAAUUUAUCUUUUUUGUGUCUACUUACUUCACUUAACAUAAUGAUGUCCAGUUCCAUCAAUUUCAUUACACAUAUAAGGAUUACAUAUUUUUAUAACUGAAUGAUGUUGUCACAUCAUGUUCUUUAUCCAUUCAUCCAUUGAUGGAUAUAUAGGUUGAUUCUGUGUCUUUAAUAGUGUGAAUUGGGUUUGGUGAUCAGUAGAUGACUUAAUGUUUUCUUCUUUUGCUUAUUGAAAAUUGCAUACUUCUAGUUUCCCAAAUUAUGUAACUUUUACUUAAGUCACCAAUAUUGUUACAUCCAUUGUAUAUAUCUUUAUCUCUCUGACUCAUAAUCCCUCUCACUUCUGAUAUAUGUACACACACAGAAUAUAUAUAUUUAUUUGUCUUCUAUAUGUAUACUGUAUGUAACUUCUUUGAUUUUUUCUUUCUUUGAUUUUUCAUUACUUCCAGACUCAUUCUUUCCAAUUUUAUUUUUACUUAUACUCAUUAUUAAAAAUAAAAUUUUAUAACUAUGAUCUUUUUUCUACCCAUUAAGUAGAUCCUGGAGUAAUAAGGAUAAAGAAGCCUGUAUAUGCUUCAUUUACAUUUAUGUUGGCAAAAGAAGAUAUGAAAGACUCAUUGAAAAAGAUGAGGUUUAUAUUUUCCAUAUACACAGAGAUAUGUAAGACAAAAGUAAACUGAAAUUAUGACUAGAUUGAUUUCUUUUAAGUUACAUCCAAGGCAUCAGCACUGUGGCAUAACAGGUAAACAACAGCAUCCACAUGGGUGUUGGUUCGAGUCCCAGCUUCUCCACUUCUAAUCCAGCUCCUUGCUAAUGUGCCUGAGAAACAGUGGAAGAUGACCCAAGUCCUUGGGCCCGUGCACCCACAUGGGAGGACUGUAAAAAGCUCCUGGCUCCUGGCUUUGGAUCAACCCAGCUCUGGCCAUUGCAGCCAUCUGGGGAGUGAAUCAGUAGAUAAAGAUCUCUUUGUCUCUCCAUCUCUCUCUCCCUGCCUCUCUCUCUCUCUCUGCCUUUCAAAUAAAUAAAUACAUCUUUUAAAAACAUUACAUCCAAAUAAACACCAAGAUAUUUCAAUCUGGAAAAGUAACAAAGGCAAGAUCAUUUUUUUCCUCAUCCCCUUUCCACCUAAAACACUGCCAUGUUCUAAUCUCUUAGGAGUGCAAAAUGUUGAUAAGACAUCAAUUAAUUCAGAUAAUGAAAUGAAAGCUGUAGCAUUGUUUUUUGUACUUUUAUAGCCAUUGUUGUAUUUUUAUUUGGCAUUUCCUCUGCUUUGCCUUAUCUCAAAUUUAUAUCACAGUUCUACCCUGUCUGUGGAGACACCUACAUAGCAAGGAAUUGUUUCAUGUGAGAGGCCAUCCUGCUAGGGGAUUCUCCAGCCAAAGUGAAACCUUCAUAUGACUUUGUUUUGCAUAUAAUUUCAUGAGAGCCAGAAUCAUCUAGCUAUUCCUAAAUAUUUGACCCAAAGACAUAGGUGAGAUAACUCAUUAUUAUUGUUUCAAGUUAAAUUUUGGGAGGUUAAUUUAUUAUGUAACAACAGAGAAUGAAUGUACUAAUGUCCUAUUGUUCUGAUCUAGAUUCAAACUUGACAUUGUAUACCAGACUUCAUUUUUGUAUAAUACCAUCUACAGAAAGUUUAAACUUAAUGAUGUAAAUGAAUAAAGUCUGAUUUCUAGUAUAAAGAAGAGGUCAAUAAUUGAUGGGUAGGAAAAAUUUUUACAAAUAGAAGUGUAUUUAUUUGCAAGGAACAAAAAGCUAAUCAAAGCAACUGUAAAAACAUGAUAUAUUGAAAAGAUAAAGUCUCAUACAAAUUAUAUUCAAGCGGAAUAGCUGGGUUCUUGGUAAUUAAAAUGUAAAAUGGUGUCUACCUGCCUCUUUCUUUUCUCUAUUACCUUCUCUCACCAAGCUUUUUGUUUUAUUUUUAAAAAUACUUAUUUAUUUGCAAGGCAGAGUUACACAUAGAGAGAGGACAAGAUGAGAGAUGAGAGAGAGAGAGAGAGAGAGAGAGAGAAACAUCUUCCAUCUACUGGUUCUUUCCCAUAUAGUCUCAACAGCCACGUAGCCAGGUCUUGGUCAGGCUAAAGAUGGAAGCCAGAAACUCCAACCUGGUCUCCCAAAUGGUUGACAGGGCUUGGACCAUCUUCCACUGCUCUACCAGGCACUUUAGCAGGAUACACUUCUCUUCCUCUAUCUCCUUUUUGCUAUAUCUUUCUGUCUCUCUUGUUCUCUCCAUAUCUCCCCUUACCCACUUUAAUUUUUGCCCACUCCUCUCUCCAUCACUCUUUCCCUUGAUCCCUCCCUCCCCUUCUACAUUUAUUUAUGCUUCUUCUCUUGUGUCCCUCAUCCCCUCAUCUCUCCUUCCCGCACUUUUGCCUUUCCCUCUUUCCCUUUAUCUCUCCCUGUUUCUCUUUCCUUUUUCUAUUUCUCCAACAUUUAUUGUCACUUAUUAUUUCUGUUUUCUUUACCUUCUUUCUUAAAGGCUGUCUGCUCCUCUCCCUACUUUCAUUCUUGGUUUGGUAUUAGCUCUGGCGUACUUCUAAGUGACCUCACAGUUUCAGAAUUACUAUUUUUGAUUAUAAUAGAGAUUGCAAAAUUGGCUAUCUGUAGCUGAAUUUUACUUACAAAUGUGUGGUUUUUUUGGACCCAAUCUCUUCUCUGAACUUUAAUUGUUAGUCAUAAAUUUGAAACAUAUACAAGGGACUGGUGUUGUGGUGUAGCAUGUAAAACUACUGCUUGUGACACCAGCAUCCCUAGCGGAUGAUGGUUUAUGUCCCAGCUGCUCCAUUUCCAAUCUAGCUCCCUACUAAUGGCCUAAAAAAAGCAAUGAAGAAUAGCCCAAGGGUUUGGGCCCUUGCAACCCACUUGGGGAGACCCAGAUGAAGCUACUGGCUUCUGGCUUUGGCUUGCCCAGCCCUGGCCAUUGCAGGUAUCUAAGGAGUGAACCAACAAUGGAAGAUUUCUCUCUCUCUCUCUUUCUGUGUCUCUGUAACUUUUUCAAAGUAAAUAAAUAAAUCUUUAAAAAACACCAUAAAUGAGCAUAGAUUGGCUCAAGUAAAAUAUUCUUUUACUCUUUGGUAAUUUGGAAUGUAUCUUUGUAUAUAAUAGAUUAGUCUCAUAGUGGAUAUUCACUGUUAAUUUAUUAACAAAAUAUAAAGUAUUACAUACUUAUCAAAACAGUACAGUAGUUUUUUAAGUAUUUUGGUGAAAUCUAUAAAAAACAAAUACUUGAAAUAUCAGCUCUGGACAUUCAAAAAAUUUGGAUAUGAGGAAUAUCACAUUUCAGAUGAUUUUUAUAAAAUGUUAAUUAUAUCAAAUAAGGUAGAAAUCUUAGCUUUUUUCAUUAUUUUAGAAGACAAUUUUGUAAAUAUGAAAUUUUUUAGCUUUUGGUAUAAUAGAGUACAGUAGAUCUUAUGACUCUCAUGACCUUAAAAUUAUUUUUAAAUUGUACAAAAAUCAUUUAAGAUCUGCAUCAACAUCAUCCUAUGCACAAGCAUGAAGCUGGUUUAAUAAGUAGCUAAAAGAUAGGCUUCCUUCUGUCCCUGUACAUAAAGUUAGCACAUUUUUACAUUCCUUACUAGUUAAAAGUAAAAAUAGAUAACGUGAGUGUGUUUUCAUUCUCCAGUUAAACUUAAGAUCAUUUAAAGCAGAUCAACUUCUGCUCUCCUACUUAAGUAUUGUGAAACAUUGUAUUCCUCACGCAUGCUUGAAAAAUGCUUGUGACUUAACUAACUGACUGAUUCUGUGAUAUGCUACUGGGACACUAUCAAACACAGCAGAUUAUUUUCAAGUAUGCCAUGUAUAAGUCCAGUGCAAUCAUUUCUUAGAGAAGGGACUAUCAAUUAAGAUACCCCCAAAUGCCUGCCAUAGGCACCUUUAAAAUUUUUUUGCUUUCUGGUUAUAAAGCUAGUUUACUAUAAUUGCAAGGUUUUCUUGAAAUAAUAAAAACAGAAAGAAAACUAGCAUUGCCCAGAGAUUUGCUACCACUCUGUACACUAUAUAUAUAUAUAUAUAUAUAUAUUUGAAGAUUUUAUUUAUUUAUUUGAGAGGUAGAGUUACAGACAGAAAGAGAAAGAGACAGAGAGAAAGGUCUUCCAUCUGCUGGUUCACUCCCUAGAUGGCUGGAAUGGCCAGAGCUAGGCAGAUCCAAUGACAGGAGCCAGGAGCCAGGAGCUUCCUCUGGCUCUCCCACAUGGAUGCAGGAGCCCAAACACUUGGGCCAUCUUCCACUGCUUCCCUAGGACAUUAGAAGAGAGCUGGUUUGGAAGAGGAGCAGCCAAGACAUGAAAUGGCGCCCAUAUGGGAUGCCCGCAUCACAGGCAGAGGCUUAGCCUACCACACCACAGCUCUGUCCCUGUUAUUUUUAUUUCUUUCAUAUUUACUGAAAUAUAAUUGACAACUAAAAAUUGUAUAUAGGAGCAAACAUUUGGCCUAGGAGUUAAGGCACUACUUGGGAUACCUGUAUCUCAUAUCGCGUACCUGAAUUCAAAUUCUGGCUCUACUCCAAUUCCAGCUUCCUGAUAUUCUUCACCCCUGGAGGCAGCAAGUGAUGAUCCAACUAGUUGGGACCUUGUCAUCCAUGUGUCAGGCCUGGAUUGAGUUCCUGGCUUCUGGCUUUGGUCUGGCCCAUCACUAACUGUUUUGGGCAUUUGGGAAAUCUCUGUGUCUCAAAUAAAUAAAUAAAUUUAAAAUUAAUUAUAUUUAAGGUGUACAACUUGUUUUGAUACAUGAGUGUACUUCAGGAAACUUGUAAAAAUGCACAUUAUAUAAAAACUGCAUGAUUUUCAAUUUUUUUUACAUCAAAGAAAACAUAUUUAAAUUUCAUUUUGUGUAAACAUUUUAAGAGAUACGUUUGAUGAAAUCAAAUUAGUUUAACAUAUCCAUCACUUCACAUAGCUAUCAUUUGUCUUCUUUUUGUGGUGUGAACACUAACCUCUUAGUAAAUUUCAAGAACACAGUGCAAUCCAUAAACUGUACUUUGGAAAUUUAUAUUUACUAAAAAAAAAAAAAAGAAAGAAAGAAAA